CCAAAGCUCUCUUUGCGUCAGGAAAGGAUCGGAGGUUAGGCUGAGGUAUGAAGCUGUGUAGAGCCAGGACAUAUUGUAUCCCCUUCCUCCCCCACCCCCCCACCUCUCCCCAGCAUUGUUUUAUUGCACAGUCAUGGAAUGGAAAACCUCGUGUGAACCGUGUGACUGACGUGAGGCGUUUGUCUUGUCUCUGUGCUGUCUCUGCUUCCAGUUCCCGAGGCAGGGCAUGCAGCAGACCCAGCAGCAGCAGCAGACUGCAGCUCUGGUCCGGCAGCUGCAGCAGCAACUCUCCAAUACACAACCAGGCCAGAAUACCAACUCAUAUUACUGAUCGUCGUUCGUCGAAGUGUGCUGCGAGCCCCCUCACCACCCCACCAUAUAUACAUAUAUAAAUAUAUGCAGGAGCGUCCCCAAGCCUACCCACCCUUCAUCUGUGGUGGACCGGGCCACAGAAUGAGUCCAGUGCGGUGCAGGCCCGUUCCCAGAGCCCUGCUUUGGGCUCAUGAUCGGGGAGGUGAAUGCCUCAGGCGAUGGAAGGAAGGACUACCAAAUGGACAAACCAAACCAACCCCCCCCAAGUUUACCACUGAGUACAACUGGCAAGGAAAUGGCUAUCAUGUUCAGUCGUGUAUUUGCAGAACAUAGUUGCAGAAAUCGGCAGAGAUCUCGCUGGGAAAUAGUGUGGCGAGAUAUGGGGGAAGAGUUUAUGUAAAAAAAAAAGAAAAAAAAAAGUACCAGAAAUUAUAAGAAUAAUGCAAGUUUUUUAUUUUAUUUCAAUUUGUACAAUUUUUUCAGUUUGGUGUAUUUCUCAUUAAAAAAAAUCAUGUCAAUUGUAUGUGGUAGCCUAUAUUGUAUCGCCUUCCGAUGUAAUUCACAGUGAAAUAUUGUAACACUUUAGUUGCAGCAUAAUCCUCAAUUGCAUCUCAGACUGAAUUAAUGAAGCUUUUAUUCAAAGUGUUUAACGAGGAGACAUUUACAUAGACGCACACUUGAGUGAAAACGAAUUGCCAGUUAUCGGGGGGGGGCUCUGUACAAUCAUGCAUGUUUCAAAGUCUUCUCAGGCAUUCGGUCGUCCGUGUCCAAAGGCUCCAGGCGGCUGAAAAGCACCCAAGAAUCAGACCCCAAUGCCCUACCCUCCAAGGGGCAGCCGGCAGGCCGUCCCUCGGGACCUGGGCAGGAAGGAGAGGGCCCUCCGGACCAACCGCCUAUCCGUGGUCCCCGGAACGGCGGGCAGCAGUUGCCUUUCCAGCCAGACGCGGUCGCACCUGGUUACCUCUGUCCCACAUCGAGGGCGUGUGCCGUUGGUCAGCCUCACGCAGCCGCCGAUGGCCUCCAGCACCUUGUACGCGUACAGGCUCUCGGAGUGGUGCUCCACCGCGGAGGGGAGUACCCGCAUCGCUCUCAGCAAGCGGUGGUUAGCAGCUGUCAGCCGGGCCGAAGCGAGGGUGACGCUGGGCCAGGAGAAGAGCGGGGGGCCGUGCGUCGGUUCAACUGGCCUCCCAGCGAGUUGACCAGCUCGGUGUCGAGGACCUUGAGCGCAUUGCAGUCAUUGUCAACUCGGUCAGAGUUCGGAACGCACCGUCACAGGACUCAAGCGGAAGCACCUGGGGCCAUCCAUCAUGGACAUCUGAGACUUCCACGGGGGCGACCAUGUUGUCGCAUAUCAAAGACCCCCGAGCCAACUGCCCCACGUCCCCUGUGGACCGAGAAGAGAGGGAGGUUGGUUUACACAUUCACUGUUUCCUCUCCGGGGGAGGGGAUGUCUUGGAACAGGUUGCGAUGCUUCAUACUUGUCGGUGAGGUGGCUGUGGUGUAGCUCACAGGAAGUCGAUUCAUUUCAAAGGCAGCGCAGCGUAGGACUAGCAAGAAAAGUUGGCAGAAGAGUUUGCAUUGCAUCUAGGCCAAGGAACGAUUCAAACUCAAUGUCCCAUAACUUCUUCAAGGAUUGGAUUAGUCUAGCCUUCUAGCUAAUACGAUUCAGGACACUAUUGCCAAACAAGAAUACAUAGUUAUAAAGCAGUUUUAGUCCAUCUAUAACUGUAUAUUACUACCCAUAAUAAAAUACUAACACAAAAUACAUAAUUGGCUAGUUUCGGAUAGAAGAGCAUGCAUACACCUAGCGGUAGCCUUUAGUUUUGAUUGUUGAAUGUUUUAAAAUUGUAAAGUGCGAUUCUACCUCUAGGUAGAAGGUGUGACCACUCUUCUGACUAUGUUUAGACAUUAUAGAUAAAAGGUCACGGCCUGGCGUAGGGCAGAGGCCAACUGCAGCCCUGAAUGACGCCGUAAUCGUCACAAAAGACGACACAAGUAAAGUAAUGAUAAGAACAAGGUC
ensembl:lncRNA